rnacentral:rRNA from 1 species
GCCCUAGGGCCACACACGCGCUCCAAUGGGCAGUGCAGAGGGUUGCCAAGCCGUAAGGCGGAGCUAAUCCCUUAAAGCUACUCUCAGUUCGGAUUGUAGGCUGAAACUCGCCUACAUGAAGCUGGAGUUACUAGUAAUCGCAGAGCAGAAUGCUGCGGUGAAUGCGUUCCCGGGUCUUGUACACACCGCCCGUCACACCACGGGAGUUGGAGACGCCCGAAGCCGAUUAUCUAACCUUUUGGAAGAAGUCGUCGAAGGUGGAAU